UUCGGGGCGUUCCCGCCGGUCUGCCGAUGGGUACGCACUGGCGGGCGCGUCCUUCCUUCCGGAGACUGGCCCUACUCUUAGCUGAGCGGGGUCGGGAGUCGGAUCGUUUACUUUGAAAAAAUCAGAGUGUUUCAAGCAGGCAGCUCGCUCUUGCAUGGAUUAGCAUGGGAUAAUGAAAUAGGACUUUGGUGCUAUUUUGUUGGUUUCGAACACCGAAGUAAUGAUUAACAGGGACAGUCAGGGGCACUCGUAUUCCGCCGAGAGAGGUGAAAUUCUCAGACCAGCGGAAGACGAACCACUGCGAAAGCAUUUGCCAGGGAUGUUUUCACUGAUCAAGAACGAAAGUUAGGGGAUCGAAGACGAUCAGAUACCGUCGUAGUCUUAACCAUAAACCAUGCCGACUAGGGAUCGGCGGAAGUCCUUUUUUGACUCCGUCGGCACCUUGAGGGAAACUAUAGUCUUUGGGUUCCGGGGGGAGUAUGGUCGCAAGGCUGAAACUUAAAGGAAUUGACGGAAGGG
rnacentral:rRNA from 1 species